UAGGGUUUUAUUAUGCUCAGCUCCUCUCUUCCCAGCCUCCUCUGCCGUCAAAACUCAAACCACCUAAGCUCAUAGAUCGAUCUCUUCUGUGUCUUCAAAAAACCCGAUUCCUUCGCUCCUCCGCCACACGCCCCAAACCCAAAGCAUUCCCGGACCCUAGCUUCUUCAACCUCCUUUCGUACUUGGUAAGCUCCUCAUCAAUUUCGCAUAAUCACAUCUUCGCAAGCCUACCAAGAACCACUGUAUCACCGCCUCUCUCUCUCUCAAACCCAGCAGCAAAUUGAGCCAAAAGUUUCUGUCUUCAGUGAAUCAAACUCACUUCGUGUCCUGAUGGGAUUGUGAUUCGUACUUCAUCUACAAGCCUUCAACUUGGAUUAUUCGAGUACUGUUGCAAGCUUCGAUUCACUGCCAAAUUACCGCACACAGAGACGGAGUAAGUAUCAAACUGCAGUUUUCAAUUCAAUUCCAGUCCCUCCAA